UUGAACGCUGGCGGCAUGCUUUACACAUGCAAGUCGAACGGUAACAGGUCUUCGGAUGCUGACGAGUGGCGAACGGGUGAGUAAUGCAUCGGAACGUGCCCAGUCGUGGGGGAUAACGCAGCGAGAGCUGUGCUAAUACCGCAUACGAUCUAUGGAUGAAAGCGGGGGACCGCAAGACCUCGCGCGAUUGGAGCGGCCGAUGUCAGAUUAGCUAGUUGGUGGGGUAAAGGCCCACCAAGGCGACGAUCUGUAGCUGGUCUGAGAGGACGACCAGCCACACUGGGACUGAGACACGGCCCAGACUCCUACGGGAGGCAGCAGUGGGGAAUUUUGGACAAUGAGCGCAAGCCUGAUCCAGCAAUGCCGCGUGCAGGAAGAAGGCCUUCGGGUUGUAAACUCCUUUUAUAUGUCAAGAAAAUGACGGUAGCAUAUGAAUAAGCACCGGCUAACUCCGU
rnacentral:rRNA from 1 species